GCUUAACACAUGCAAGUCGAACGGUGAACACGGAGCUUGCUCUGUGGGAUCAGUGGCGAAAGGGUGAGUAACACGUGAGCAACCUGCCCCUGACUCUGGGAUAAGCGCUGGAAACGGCGUCUAAUACUGGAUAUGUGACGUGACCGCAUGGUCUGCGUUUGGAAAGAUUUUUCGGUUGGGGAUGGGCUCGCGGCCUAUCAGCUUGUUGGUGAGGUAAUGGCUCACCAAGGCGUCGACGGGUAGCCGGCCUGAGAGGGUGACCGGCCACACUGGGACUGAGACACGGCCCAGACUCCUACGGGAGGCAGCAGUGGGGAAUAUUGCACAAUGGGCGAAAGCCUGAUGCAGCAACGCCGCGUGAGGGAUGACGGCCUUCGGGUUGUAAACCUCUUUUAGCAGGGAAGAAGCGAAAGUGACGGUACCUGCAGAAAAAGCGCCGGCUAACUACGUGCCAGCAGCCGCGGUAAUACGUAGGGCGCAAGCGUUAUCCGGAAUUAUUGGGCGUAAAGAGCUCGUAGGCGGUUUGUCGCGUCUGCUGUGAAAUCCCGAGGCUCAACCUCGGGCCUGCAGUGGGUACGGGCAGACUA
rnacentral:rRNA from 1 species